GACGAACGCUGGCGGCGUGCUUAACACAUGCAAGUCGAACGCUGAAGCUCAGCUUUUGUUGGGUUGAUGUGUGGCGAACGGGUGAGUAUCACGUGAGUAACCUGCCCCUUUCUUUGUGAUAACGCCCGGGAACGCGUGCUAAUACAGGAGAUUCAAUUGUCUUCGCAUUGGUGUUGGUGGAAAGGGCGGUUUUGGUGUGGGGUGCGCUAGCAGCCUAUCUGCUUGAUGUUGUGGUGAUGGUCUAACAAGGCUUUGACGGGUAGACGGGCUGAGAGGGUGAACGGUAACAUUGGGACUGAGAUAAGGCCCAGGCUAGUCAGGGGGGGAGCAGUGGGGGAUAUUGCCCAAUGGGCGACAGCCUGAUGCCGCGUCGCCGCGUGAGGGCUGGAGGUCUUAGGGUUGUGAACCUAUUUCGCUAAUUGUCAAGAAGCAACAAUGGUUGUCGUGAGGGUAGUGGGUCAAGAAGCGCCGGCUAACUACGUG
rnacentral:rRNA from 1 species